rnacentral:rRNA from 1 species
UACGUAGGGUGCAAGCGUUAAUCGGAAUUACUGGGCGUAAAGCGUGCGCAGGCGGUUGUGCAAGACAGAUGUGAAAUCCCCGGGCUCAACCUGGGAACUGCGUCCGAUACUGGAUGGCUUGAAUUCGGGAGAGGGAUGCAGAAUUCCAGGUGUAGCGGUGAAAUGCGUAGAUAUCUGGAGGAACACCGGUGGCGAAGGCGGCAUCCUGGGACCGGCAUUGACGCUGAGGCGCGAAAGCUAGGGGGAGCAAACGGGG